GGCCGCCGCCAUCCCACCCACCGCGGCGGCGCGCGGAGCGGGCUCCGCCACGCAGCUCCCGGGGCGAGUGGCAGGCGCGCCAGGCCGCCAUCUCCUACCUGCUCGGACGGACCCGGCCAGGCGCUGCACCCCACUACAGGCCGCGUCUCAUUGUGCUGCCGCCGCCACCGCCAUUUCCCCGCUGCCGCCGCCUUGCUCCCCCCAACUGUCAGGUUCCUCCAUUCACCUGGGCCCGCGACGGCCUCCUCCUCCUUCUCCUCCCCCCCCUUUCCCCCUGCGCUGCCGGCCCUACGCAAACAGAGCACCUCCCACCCGUACCAACGGAGGCCGCCCAGCGCCUGCGACGCAAGCCCGCUCCGAGAAUUCCACCCUGCGCAGCUUACGCUUCGCGUCCCCGCGACAUGAAAGGAACCAAACGAUUGGCGGCGAGACCUAGAUAAAAGUGGAUGCAUUUAGCUGCAUGCUGCAUUUUGCUGAUCCUGUUUGCCCUGCUGCAAAGAGCACUGCAAGAUAUUUCAGCAGUAGCAGCUGUCUGAAAAGGAGUCAUCAAAAGUGCCACUGAGGUGGAAGUGAGCUUUCCGUGUCUCAUAUUCAGAAGAAGAAAGAAAUGCUUUGAUAUUCCACAAUUUCAGUUAAGAUAACCCUGAAACAGACACGACACGUGAGAAUAAAAGGUUAAUUUUUUUGCCUUCUGUGAGCUAUAGAGUAGUGUGUCAAGAGAUGGACAGACUAAGCAAGCUUUCCCAUUCAGAAUAUGUCUUUUCCGAUAUCCUUUAAAUGUGCAUAUAAAUCCCGUCCUCUGGCACAAAUAGCUACACUUGGCGGGGGUGUGGGGGAGCAACUUGCACUCAUGCAUGCCCUGUUUAUGUACAAAACUGGAAUACAAACACUCAUCAGUCACCUGUCUAUAAAUUAGCAUUAUCAGUGGUACGGUAUGCAGUGGGGAGGAAAUUGAUGUUAUUUACUUGACAAAAAAACUGCUCACCAUGGAAAUACAAACACUUACUUAGGGAUUUUUUUCCUUCUUUCAGGUUCACCGUCUAUUAGCCCAGUGGAAAUCAGGGGGUGACCUUUUGUCAGGUCAGAGCUUUUGGCUGCGGAGGUUUGGGAACUUUCACAGGUACAUUCUAACCUGUGACCUUACUCUGUGUUCCAGCCACUUGUUCCCUGCUGCUGUCUUAAUCAAAACCGGUAGUGGAUGGUAACUUCCUAGAAGAAGUAGGGGAUUGGUCCUACAUAAUUUAUGCAACAAAUGCAAUGCAUUUAAAGGGGUUAACUGAAGUCUGUGGCAUUGUUUGUGUACCUUGGAUUUGAGGGGUUCUAGCCCUAAGGCAAUGCGUAGGCUUUGGCUACUUCUGGCCUAUGUGAUGGAAGUUAAGUCCUCUCAGGGCCAGAUCCUGUAGUGUGUGCUUAGCACACAGAUGUGUCACAGUGACUUUCACAGAAGUCAAGAACUGAAUACAUCACUGGAUGCAUUCAUGUUUGUGCUUGGUAAGAAGGGACUCCCAAGUACUUAAAGCUACACGUAAGUGAUAAUGCACUAAUUAUCUUCUUAGAUGGUCGAAUAUGAGAGCACAUACACUGGCCAAAUUCCUCUUCUAAAAGCUCUGAUUCUGUGAGGAUGGGUACCAAAAGCUCUGAAAAUAAUAAUGAUAAAAAACCCUGGGCCCCAGUAAAUUCAGUGGCUCACUACUUUGAUGAAGAAGCCAUACUGACCGUCAUCAGAAGACGUAAAGGAAAUAAGUGAGUUACACACCAAAUAUUAACGUGUUGAAAUUUCAGCCUCAGGAAGUUUUAAUGGAAGAAAGUAGCUUAAUCACUCAAUAUAAUCUGCAACUUUAGCUGAAAGUUAACAUCACAAAAUGAUAUAUAGCUAUGCAGCUUGAAGAAUCACGCAGUUGUAUUCAAAUCAUUUCCCACGUCUUUCAAGUCUACUGUUCAGUAAGAGCUCCUCCUCUGUUUGCAGUUUCCAUUUUCCAAAUGGAUGAUCCAACUGAUGCAUAGCUCAAUGUUCAUUCUUGUGAGUCAUAAUUAAUAAAUAAUCAUAUCACAUACACAUAGUUUUACAGGUAUUCUUAAAAUGGUUUUACAGUUCUAUUAAAUAUAUAGAUAAAAUAAUCACCGCUAUAUAAAAAAAAUCUUUUUAAAACAGCUGAACUCCAAAGCUUUGCAUAAAAUUCUGUAGACACAUUCAUUAUAAUCUAGAAACUCAAUUAAAAUACAUUUUAGAGCUCAAUCUGUCAAAAAUAUUCACGGCAUUGAAAAAGUGAUUGUCUUUUUUUUUUUUCUUUUUUUCCCUUUUUUUUUAUUCCUGCAAUCCGUACUUGCCCUGAUCAUUUCCUACAACCUGGCAAAGGCUGCACUCAUCUCAGUUUGUAGAUUACAUGACUGUUUAACUCAUUUCUUCAGCUGUAAGACAUCUGCCCCAUAAACAUUUAGCAGGGUUUUGUCUUUAAUCCUAUACCAUUUCUCGCACUUUCUAUAAAAUUGCAAUGAAACACUUCGCAGUUGAGUUACACAACAGCAGUAACAUUGAAGCAUCCGGUUACAGCUGUUCUGCAGCCUGUAAUGGUGCUUUUUGGAACACCAAACACCCCUUUUAUCCAGUAAUCUACAAGCACUUCCCAACACUUACACUUCACAAUACCUUACUAUGCAUACACUUGCUCAACAAGAACUGGUUUUAUAAAUGGUCUUAACAGAUCAGUACCCACAUAUAUCUGAAUUCUGCUACUAAAUCAAAGUAUCAAGUGAGGUCACUUCAAGCUUAGCACUUCUCAAAAACCCAGGCCUUUUUUCAGGAAAACCUCCUUAUUCAGACCAUGCACGUAUCUGUUGGCGAGAUAAAAGAUGGCCCACCAGCCUUUAAAAUCUCAGAUGCCUCAAGAUAGUCUUUGAGCCAGCAUAGUAGAAAAUCCUUUGCUACAAUGAACGCUUCACAGUCUGUGAAGUCUUUAGACUGUAAGCUAAGAAUGGCACACAAAGACCAACAAGGAGCAACAUUUUCAGAACAGAGAUUCAAUUGCAGUAAGGGAUUGGAUUUUGAACUGUGGAAGAAUGAUGCAGGCUUACACAUCAUUUUAAGUGGGGGGAGCUGCUGCUCAUGCAGUUGUGUUUUUUCUUUAUCUAUUUUUCUUUUUCAGUUCUAGAUAGUGGCAGAACUCCUUGAGAGUUCAGUCUGUUUCCACAGUCAGCUGACCACAGCAGUAUUAUUUGUAACUCUAUUACUCUGGACAUUCUUACCCACAAAAUGCCUGAAUAAGGUAGACUGCUUCUGUUAUAGUAAAAAACAAACAAACAAAAAACCAGGCAAAGCCAAAUAUGGGUUUUCCAAAUAUGGAAAGAAGCCAAAUACCAAACACCAUGGAUUUAUUUAGUAUUAUUUUCAUCAGCUUUAGAAAGAAGAAGCAAUCUCUAUCUCUUCUCAGGCCAGGCCGGAAAGUAUACAUCAGCUUAAAGAUUGGAUGAAAUGAUCAAGACAAUUGCUGCAUGCUCUCUGAGAUUUAAACUGCUCACUUUGCUGCCUGUUCACUGUUUCACUGACUAUUAGCAAGAGGAAAGAAGAAAACAUGAGUUUUCUCUUUCUUGGAAGUUAAUAUUCUGUAAUGAAACUGCUAGCCCACUCUUCCAAUCUUUAUGGAUGUCAGUGGUUUAGAUGAGACAUCUGAAAAUCUUCUCCUUCCAAUUCAUUUUCUUAGGAGAAAGAAGACAAAAUGGAAAUGAUUCUCCUUGACUGAACUCUGAUAAUGGUAAAGUUCUCCCAAAUGACUGUAAUUGAACUGCAGAUAAUCUCUGUUGAUGACUAAGAAAUUACUGCAACUGAACUGA